UACGUAGGGGCCUAGCGUUGUCCGGAUUUAUUGGGCGUAAAGAGCUCGUAGGCGGUUUGUCGCGUCUGCUGUGAAAACUGGAGGCUCAACCUCCAGCCUGCAGUGGGUACGGGCAGACUAGAGUGCGGUAGGGGAGAUUGGAAUUCCUGGUGUAGCGGUGGAAUGCGCAGAUAUCAGGAGGAACACCGAUGGCGAAGGCAGAUCUCUGGGCCGUAACUGACGCUGAGGAGCGAAAGCGUGGGGAGCAAACAGG
rnacentral:rRNA from 1 species